rnacentral:rRNA from 1 species
AUUGAACGCUGGCGGCAGGCCUAACACAUGCAAGUCGAGCGGUAACAGGGAGCAGGUUGCUUGUUUGCUGGCGGGUGGGGGGAGUGUGGCUUAUGAAUGUGACACGGCGUGGGGGAGGGGGUUAACAAACGGAAGCGAUUGCUAAUACCGCAUAGCGUGGGAAGGUGGAGAAUGGUGGGAUCCGACGCUCUCACCAUCGCCUAGGUCGGAUUAGCUAGUGGGUGGGGUAAGGGCUUACCUAGGCGACGAUCCGUAACUGGUCUGAGAGGAUGAGCAGCCACACUGGAACUGAGACACGGUCCAGACUCCUACGGGAGGCAGCAGUGGGGAAUAUUGGACAAUGGGCGAAAGCCUGAUGCAGCCAUGCCGCGUGUAUGAAGAAGGUCUUCGGAUUGUAAAGCACUUUCAGUGGGGAGGAAGGGAAGUAAGUUAAUACCUUGCUGUAUUGACGUUACCAGCAGAAGAAGCACCGGCUAACUUCGUG